AUUCCAGCUCCAAUAGCGUAUAUUAAUGUUGUUGCAGUUAAAAAGCUCGUAGUUGGAUUUCUGGUGGGAGCGGCCGGUCCGCCGCAAGGUGUGUACUUGGUUGUCUCCUGUCAUCCUUGUGGGAACUGCUCUGGCAUUAAGUUGUCGGGGUUAGGGAACACAUCGUUUACUGUGAAAAAAUUAGAGUGUUUAAAGCAGGCUUAUGCCGUUGAAUACAUUAGCAUGGAAUAAUAAGAUAGGACUUUGGCGUCUAUUUUGUUGGUUUGCACACCAAGGUAAUGAUUAAUAGGGAUAGUUGGGGGUAUUCGUAUUUAAUUGUCAGAGGUGAAAUUCUUGGAUUUAUGAAAGACGAACUUCUGCGAAAGCAUUUACCAAAGAUGUUUUCAUCG
rnacentral:rRNA from 1 species